rnacentral:pre_miRNA from 1 species
UUUAAGUGUAGUCGUGGGUUUACGUACUCAACGUUUCACCGUCUAUCUUAUUUAAGAUUUUUUAUGAUUAAUAUUUUAUUAUUAUUAAAUGAUAAAAAUAAAUAGUAAUUUAUGCAUAAUUUAUUUUUUUAGUUUUUCAUAAUUUUUCAAAUAAAACGAGCAGUCAAAUGUUGUAUAUAGAAAAUUUAAA